UUUCUCUCCAUCUCUGGGUUCUUGACUUUCCUCCUGGCUGUGGUGGCAGAAGGAGGAGUCAGCAGCACUUUUUCCUCAGUCGUAAUGCUCCUACUUUGUCUUUUUACAAAAGUAAACAUUUGAAUCUCCUCUUCUUUUGUUUCGUUACUAAGAAUUUUCUUUGCUUGUGGCAUUGUGUCUAAAAGGGCAUUUUCUGCCCCAGUUUCAGUGGUCAUAUCUGGGUUAUCAACCCUAUGCGGUUCCCCUCCCUCCAUGUUGAGUUUCAGUUGUUCCUUCUCUCCAAUCUCUGAAUCUGUUUCUGUAUUCUGUCUUUCUGUUGCUUGACUCAGCUUUUCAAAAUGACUCUCCUCUUGUUUGAAUAAUUGUCUUCCAACAAACAAGCGUCUUUUCUUCUUCUCAUAAACCAGCCUUUGCAUUUCUGGGGUAAAUUUAGUGGUUUUCUUACCACUCUUUCCAACUGGCUUCCUUUCAACUGCUCCCUCUUUGCUAUGUCUCGGUUUCUCCUUCUCAAUUUGACCCGUCAGCCUCUGAAUGCGUCUGGUGUUUGUCACUACCUUGAGUUUGGUCUUACUUUUCUGAUUCUCCUCCUUCCUUUCUUCUGUUGAUUUUGUAGCUUUGUCCUUUUCUUGUCUCUCUGUUUCUUCCUGAUUCUCUUUCCUGAUUUCAGGGGAUGCUAAGUCUUCAGAAACUUCAAAAACUGGAGGCUCAGUUUGUUCUUUAGGCACUGAGUGUGAUAAAUUGACAUUUACUGCUUGUGAAUCUGACACGAAAGACAAAGUAUCUGUCACAGGAACUGCUUCAGGACAAGACGACUUUGAGUCUUUGGUUUUAGUGUUGCAUUGUUCCUGAGACUCUCUUAUCUGAUGCUGAGCUGGAGGGAUAAAAGUCAACAAAGGGUCUCUGAAACUAGCCGUAGAUUCCUUGCUGGGAAUGGUAGAAGGGUCAUCAUUUGACCCUGAGAAGCUGGAGGUUGAGGGGGACUCAGGAGCAAGAAACUGAAACCGAGCUGACUCUGGGUCUGCCAGGUUCAAGAGGAACAUUGCGUCUUCUAUUGACUCGUACCACUUCGCUGCAUGUUCUUCCACCAAUGCACCAUCGUCUCUGGCUUCCAGAAGGUGUGAAGCGAUGAUGGGAGUCAAAUCUUCCUUUGGAUCUACAUUCCUCUGAAGUGAAUUUGCCCCAUUGUGGUUGGGAUUGUCCACUUCUCGCUCUUGUUUUGCAAGGAGGUCAAUGGGAUCUGGGUCGGAAGAAAGAAGGGAGUCCAGGAACUCUGUAUCCAGUGUAAACUCCACCUGCGAACAAGGAUGGAUGUGGAUUAAAACGGAGAGACGAUAAACCUUUUCCUUAUUAAGAAUACUGUUAGCUAUGCUGGUUUUAACAGGGUCUUGUCUUCCAAUAGCAUGCAGAUUAGAGGACCAAAGGGCCAAGUGUUUAUUCUUUUAAUCUAAACUCAAAACAAAAUGAUCAUAUUGCCCUGAAAGCCACUCCCUUAGAUUCACUGACUGUCAAUGAAAAUUUGCAACUAAAAUAAUGAUAUAUUAAUGCCAUUGACGACUAACCUCUUGGACAAAUUUAUCAUCAGUGCACAGUUCAUCCAGAUAAUCCAGAAACGAAGAGUUGCUCAGAAAGUGUGAGGGUACCAGCGGGGAAAGGGUGGGCAAAACUUCAUUUUGUUCUAUUAUCCCCUGAGUUGGAGUUUCCCCACCGUGGUUUGGAUUUAUGUACGACUGUGAGCAUGGAAGAGGCCAAAACGCUUGCAGUGGUGACGUUUCCUCGAAACAGGAAUAUUUGUCUUCGGUUACAGGGCCGACGCUGUUGGAGUCGCCCUGGCAAAGGUCAGGCAGCUUCUCCAGGAUCUCGUUGCAUAUCUGAUGAAAAAAGAGAACAAAGAAAAACACCUUUGACCUUUUCCUGAAGCAUUUCCCCCCAAAACUAAGGCGGCAAUUAAAUUUUCCAAGCAACAUUGUUUCCAUAACAUUGAAUGUUUAAAUCUCCAACCUCUUGCACAAGAUGGCUACUUGAAAAGUCAGUCGGAUCUGGAUCUGGAUCUGAUGAGGUGGCAGGAUUCACAUUCUCUGUUUUCAGUGUUGACGUCACCUGAGGGAAUGAGAUGACAUUAAAAACAAUUUAUUAUUCCACUUCUGUACUUUUUGCCAGCUUUUAAGGAACAGGAAUGGUCACAUUUGGAGCAAUAUCCUCACUUUAAGUUCCAAUACUCGUGUGGCCUACAUUUCCCAUAAUGCAACUUUAUCGCAUCUUUCAAACUCUACAGACCCGGUUGUAAAACGUGCUAAAUGUCAGCUCUGAAAGACGCAAUACCACAGUAAAGAAAAACUUGGUAAUGCUUUUUUCUUACAAACAAACAGCAGCGCUCACUUCUGCAUUUCAAAACUGGCACUAAGUGUUGAAAUUAGCUCCUUUUUUUUAAAGACAGAAAUGUUUUUAAAUCAUGUUUCAUCACCUCUUGCUCUUGUUUUACCAGGGCAAGAAGGUCAAUGGGCUCUGGGUCUGAAGGAGGAGGGGAAUCCAGGGACUCUGCAUCCGGUGUAAAGUCCACCUGCAAACAAAGAUGGAUGUGGAUUAAAACAGAGACGAUAAACCUUGUCCUCAUUUAGAAUACAGUUAGAUAUUUAGGCUAGUUUUAACAGUGGUCAAAUAUCAAACCUGCUACAAAAGUUAUGAUAUAUAAAUGCCAUUGACGACUAACCUCUCUGACAAGGUUCUCAUCUCUGCACAGUUCAUCCAGAAAGUCCAGGAAUGAAGAGUACUCCAUCCCCAGAUUCUCCUCUUCCUCAUUUCUUUCCUGCAGAGCCGAAUCAAAAAUGAUGGGACUCGGGCGUUACAUUUAACUGAUCGCUGACCUGCUGAGCAGUCCUUUCCCUGGGGUCAAAAGGAAACAAGGUAAUACAGAAAUCAUGAGAGGUCUUAUGUAAGCUCUUAUAUCUGUUGUUUGUGUCUUACAUGUCUGCACUGCAGGGCUGAUCUACAGGCACCUCCUGCGGACACAAGCACCAGACGGGGUGACCUUCGGGCAUGAGGAGCCAGGAGUGACGAGGCAAGCCGGGGCCACGUAACUCCGGUGGACUGAUGAUGGGAACCAACACACUGGGACCACGAAAAAAAUUGGAGUGUGUCCAGCAGACGUCUGGAGGAGAACAGGGCGUGAUGAUGAGCUCUGGGAUGAAUCCAGGCUGGGGCAGGAUGUUUAUGUAGGAGGGGUCAUCCUGAGCUUGUUGCGGUUGCAUUGGGUUAAAUCUCGGGGUCAGAUGCUGCAUAUGUUGAUGGUUUGAGUUCAUUUGUGGUUGCAUGUCUGGAUCUGGAUUUUCUCUUUCCUGGAGGAUUUCUGCAACUAUAGGAUGUUUCUGUGGCACCAAGUCUACCGGCACCACAGGAAGGUCUGAUACAUGAACCUGUGCGACCUGGCUCAUGACUGUAAGGCGGUCACUUAGGUCGAUCUCAGGCAGAGAAAAGAAUGCUGGAUCCAUCUUUAUCUGUGGGAUGUAACUGAAGGGAAAGUGAAAUAACGCAGAGCUGUUAGUGGCAAUAAGACACAUUUUCUAAUCCAGUUUAAAAGAGUGAAUGGAUUUCAUUGUGUUUUUUAUAUAAACUUACAACACAACUGAAAGCUUUUUCUUCUCUAAUAAUUAUUUAUCUUGGAUAAAAUAUGACUGGCUUUAAACCAGUUGUAUUUAUAAUGAAGCUCUAAAAUUAAUUCAAUUUUAUAAAAGUGGGAUUUGUUUAAUUAUCAAUUAGUGGAUUACCUGAGAAAUAAUUGCAAGUACUUUGAUACAUUUUACAGUAAUUUUUUGAUACAGGACAAGCUGUUUUAAGUGAUUCAAAUAUGUUAACUUCCUGCUUUUUCUAUUGUAUACACUUUUAAGCUGAAUAUCCGAUUGACACUUAUCAGUAAACCUUCGAUGCUUAAUGAAAGAAGUGCAUUUAAAUAAAUUAAAAAACAAUGGAAAACGGCCCUUUAGUUUCUGUUUUCACUUUCAGGGAUAAAUAAUACACAUUUUUAGGUCAAAGAGUUCACCUACCUUGCAUGUGUAAGAUGAUAAGUCUUUAAUACAUCAGUUUGCAUCUGCAGUAUGUUUUAAAACUAAACUGAGUUGAUUUGUUUAUUUUUAAAUAAAAGUUCUUUUAGAAACAUUCUAAA